AGAGUUUGAUCAUGGCUCAGAGUGAACGUUGGCGGCGUGCCUAACACAUGCAAGUCGAACGGACUCAAAGGGGUAACUCUUUGAGUUAGUGGCGAACGGGUGAGUAACACGUGGGUAAUCUCCCCUCGAGUGAGGAAUAAGCUCCCGAAAGGGAGUCUAAUACCGCAUAACGCCAUGGGGCAUAAGCGUCCAUGGUUAAAGCCGCAAGGCGCUUGAGGAUGAGCCCGCGUCCUAUUAGCUAGUUGGUAGGGUAACGGCCUACCAAGGCGAUGAUGGGUAGCCGGCCUGAGAGGGUGUCCGGCCACACUGGGACUGAGACACGGCCCAGACUCCUACGGGAGGCAGCAGUGAGGAAUUUUGCGCAAUGGGGGAAACCCUGACGCAGCGACGCCGCGUGGAGGAUGAAGGCCUUCGGGUCGUAAACUCCUGUCAGAGGUGAAGAAUGCCCGCAAGGGUUUGACGGUAACCUCAGAGGAAGCCCCGGCCAACUACGUGCCAGCAGCCGCGGUAAUACGUAGGGGGCGAACGUUACUCGGAAUUACUGGGCGUAAAGGGUGUGUA
rnacentral:rRNA from 1 species